rnacentral:rRNA from 1 species
CCUACGGGUGGCAGCAGUGAGGAAUAUUGGUCAAUGGCCGAGAGGCUGAACCAGCCAAGUCGCGUGAGGGAAGACGGCCCUACGGGUUGUAAACCUCUUUUGUCGGGGAGCAAAGAGAGUCACGUGUGACUCAUUGAGAGUACCCGAAGUAAAAGAAUCGGCUAACUCCGUGCCAGCAGCCGCGGUAAUAAGGAGGAUGCGAGCGGUAUCCGGAUUUAUUGGGUUUAAGGGGUCCGCAGGCGGAGGUGCAAGUCAGCGGUCAAAUUGCGGGGCUCAACCCCGUACUGCCGUUGACACUAUAUCCCUUGAGUGCGAGAGAGGUAUGCGGAAUGCGAGGUGUAGCGGUGAAAUGCGUAGAUAUCACGCAGAACUCCGAUUGCGAAGGCAGCAUACCGGCGCGCAACUGACGCUCAUGCACGAAAGCGUGGGUAUCGAACAGGAUUAGAUACCCUUGUAGUC